UACAGCGCUUCCUUCGAAGUACAGGAGACAUACCCAAGAGUCCAGCAGCUGAGGAGCAGCAGCAGCAGCAGCGUGACCCCGUCGGUAAACUACACUGGCCCUCCUCUUCCGUCAAGGGCCUUCCUCGGUUAGGGUCACGCGCCUAGGUUGGCUUAGCAGCCGUAGGUACUGUUACCUCCGCCUCGCGCUCCGGCCGCUCCUCCUCGGCGCCGCGGGAGAAGAGGGUGGGAGAAGCAGCGGUCCAAGAGGGAGAGUGGACCCCGCCUCGUCGAGCAGCCGCGACGCGCCCCCGCCGCCUCCCACCCGCCUCCAGUCGCGACGGCUCCAGUUCAGGCGGCGGAGGAAGAGGAGGAGGGGGUUGAUGAUAGGGGGCCGCGGGUUAGGAGUGGUGCUGCGGCAGAUGGGUGGCAGGUAGGUGUCGCGGCAGGAGAGGGGUAGGGGCCGUUGACGACGGUGAGGAGGCGUAAGCGUACCAAACCGCUAACAAGGAGUUCCCGGCAUGGGCAUGCCGCCACUAAUGGUCGGAAGCGUCCCGCGGUCCUCCCUACAUGACCUACUCCACCUCCAAGCCGUCUACGAUUAGCUUGUACAACCCGUAGCUACAACAACCCCGUCGGCCGGACGAGCCUGUACCUUCUAAUGUAGGUAGUUCCUGACGACGCUACAUAUACAACCUUGGAACCUUUGGAAGUAGCUCGUUUCUCUGCGGUAUAAUCUUUCCCUUGGGAUAGUACCACCCCUUCAUCUACCCUCUCUGUUCCCGGGACAGGAACCCCACACCCUUGAUCUAAACUCCAGGCUCAAAGGAGGCGAGAAACAUGGCCUCUUUCUUCAUUCCCAGUUCUAAGGAGUAAGUGUUCAAUGACUCUUCACGAGUCUAACGCUCCCAGCACCUUUCCAAGGUACAGGAUGAACGUUAGGACCAGCCGUCAUGCCCAAAAUGUACCGUUUAGUUUACUGAGUCACGUCACAUACAGUCCCGUCCCCAAGUGAGCGAGUCGUUCUACUUAGACUAAGUCAUACAACCUACACGUUACCAGUUCCUCACAACGGGACGUGUCUUACACCUAGGGCACCGUAUCAUUGUACGGCCUGUACAUUACCGACGCCAAGGGAAGAAUGUGUUUCGUAACGAGCGCAAGCUACCCUCUGCGAAUGUCGCUCUUUUCAAUCACGUUGUCGUCUUUGACGACGCCAGGGACUGCUUCAAAAGGUGUCUCGCGUUCCCCGCGUUGAUACGUUGUAUGUCCGUAUGGUUACGUGAGGACGAAAGAAACGGCUAAGUAUGGGUGAGUUGGUCAACAGGAGCCUCCAACAACGAUCGGCCGACGGUCAAGGUGGUAGGCGUUAACAGUAAAGCCUCUCUGUGUAGUAGAGCCAGCACGGGCAUUGGGUACAGUGAUACAGCGUGGCAUUCGCUAGAAAAUCGAAGAUGCAGCAACCGAUGCCGUCCCUACAAAAGCACGCCUUGAUGGGAAGCUCCAAAACGACCCCGGAAACGACAACGAAGCUUACCAACCCCUUAAUCAACGUAAAAUACGGUACACACACGGUGGAAGAAAACCACAGGUUACAAGUACCAUAGUUUUGGACACACAAAUGUUGACAUCUCUCCGUCAAGCCAAAGACCACACGUCGGCAUUACUACACCAUGCAACAGACAACAAUGUCAUGUCUAUGACAUACAUGUAAAAACCUGAAUACCCAGUGCAUGGUCGCGCCGACAUGGCUAACAAGUCACGCAUCUUUUACCAAGUGUAUACCAAUAGUUGUUAUUAUUACUCGACACGAGAGAAAAUCCCCCUCUCCCCGAGUAAUGACUUAGUUUCAUAGGUGGUAAACAAGGGGACUUAAUCAUUAUUCGCACAACUAGACUUUUAUUUAUUUACAAGAAGUUAAAG
rnacentral:rRNA from 1 species